GAUGAAGAACGUAGCGAAAUGCGAUAAGUAAUGUGAAUUGCAGAAUUCAGUGAAUCAUCGAAUCUUUGAACGCACAUUGCGCCCCCUGGUAUUCCGGGGGGCAUGCCUGUCCGAGCGUCAUUGCUGCCCUCAAGCACGGCUUGUGUGUUGGGCCUCCGUCCUCCUCCCGGGGGACGGGCCCGAAAGGCAGCGGCGGCACCGCGUCCGGUCCUCGAGCGUAUGGGGCUUCGUCACCCGCUCUUGUAGGCCCGGCCGGCGCUUGCCGACACAUCAAUCUUUUUUCCAGGUUGACCUCGGAUCAGGUAGGGAUACCCGCUGAACUUAAGCAUAUCAAUAAGCGGACGA
rnacentral:misc_RNA from 1 species